rnacentral:pre_miRNA from 1 species
GCAGGGAGGUUGAACAUCCUGCAUAGUGCUGCCAGGAAAUCCCUAUUUCAUACUAAGGGGGGCUGGCUGGUUGCAUAUGUAGGAUGUCCCAUCUCCCAGCCCACUUCGUCA